AACUAUGAAUAGUUCUAAUUGAAUCAAGAAAAAUGAAUAUAAUCAACAAAAAUAUAACUUCCUCCCUCAAAUAUGUUUAAAGUCCUUAUAAUUAAAAAAAUAUAUAUGUUUUUACAUGCAAAUUAAAAAAGUUUCAAUAAAAAACAAUAACAUGAGACAAUAAAAAAAUAAAAAGAAAUUUCAAGAAAAAUGAAGAAUGAAACAUAGGAUAGUGGGAAAAGUGUA
rnacentral:lncRNA from 1 species